GGAAGUAAAAUCGUAACAAGGUUUCCGUAGGUGAACCUGCGGAAGGAUCAUUACUGAGUGAGGGCCCUCUGGGUCCAACCUCCACCCGUGUUUAUUGUACCUUGUUGCUUCGGUGCGCCCGCCUCACGGCCGCCGGGGGGCUUCUGCCCCCGGGUCCGCGCGCACCGGAGACACCAUUGAACUCUGUCUGAAGAUUGCAGUCUGAGCAUAAACUAAAUAAGUUAAAACUUUCAACAACGGAUCUCUUGGUUCCG
rnacentral:misc_RNA from 1 species